GCUGGGUGUGGUGGAGCAUGCCUGUAAUCCCAGUGAUUUGUGGGGCUGAGGCAGGGGGAUCAUGAAGUUGAGGCCAGUCUCAUCAACUUAGCAAGAACCUGUCUCAA
rnacentral:sRNA from 1 species